GUUUGCUUUUGCCAUUUUGAUGGCUACAUCGGCGGGUACCGAUGGGUUUGUCCUCAUCUGGACACUAGACUACACAACCCCUACGCCCUACUACACCACCUCGUAUGCUGCUCCCUCUUACAGCCCCAAGGCUCUCGAAUAUUAUACCACAUAUGCAGCUCCCAGCUACUACACCGAGUUUCCCAACUACUUACUACACGAUCAGAACGCCCAAAUACUACACGACCAUAUACUCCGCUCCAACAUACUACACUCAAGCCAUUAAAUACUAUGCUGCUCAAAGGUUAUUGAUUGCAGAGUCAGAGACCAAUGUGUGGAAUCUGCCAAUGUUCUAGCCCUCGAAACCCCAGCUGCCCUUCUGCUUCAACAAGGGUAUAAAGCAAUUCUAAUUUCAGGAGGUCUCAACUCAGUUUACGCAGCGGAUGCCCCACUAUACGACCCAACAAUCUUUACUUGCGAUCUUCCAGUGCAGGGAAUUUGUUAUGCAUGCAAUUUACUCAAGAAAGAUUUAGGUAACCAAUUCUGUUUUAUUAAAUUUUUAUUAUUCAAAUUAUUUCAUAGCAGUAUUUAACAUGUCAGAAAUAACAAUUAUGUCAUAAAUUAAAUAGAACGUUUAUUUUAUUUU